rnacentral:rRNA from 1 species
GACGAACCGAGCGAACGUUGUUCGGAAUCACUGGGCUUAAAGGGCGCGUAGGCGGGUGCUCAAGUCCGGGGUGAAAUCCUCCAGCUCAACUGGAGAACUGCCUCGGAUACUGGGUGCCUCGAGUGUGGUAGGGGUGUGCGGAACUAUCGGUGGAGCGGUGAAAUGCGUUGAUAUCGAUAGGAACUCCGGUGGCGAAGGCGGCACACUGGACCACAACUGACGCUGAGGCGCGAAAGCCAGGGGGAGCAAACGGGG